rnacentral:lncRNA from 1 species
GGGGGGGCAAUUUGGCAAUUAAAGGGGGCAACAAAAAGAGAAACCCUAAAAAGCUUAUUAGUUUUUCUUCUCCCUCACCCGGAGCCGCCACCCCCCAUCCGGAUCAGAUUUUUAUCUUCUUCUCCCUCACAAGGCUGCCCCCUCCCUUGGCCAAAAAGAAGGAGAACCAAAGCCACAGGGACUUCCCUUCUGCCUCUCUCCAUCUCACUAUCUUCUCCCUCAACCGGCCCCUCAGCCCCCACACACCCAUCUCCUUCUCACAGCAGCCGACCACCACAUCCGAAGACCAGCCUCUUCCUCUUCCCCCACAAACCAGCCACCCCAAGACUCGACACCGCCUGACCUUCCCUUCUCCUCCGGCCGUUGCUCUCCCUCUCAGCCAAGACAGACCGAGCAGCCCCCCCACAAACCAAGCCACCGCAGCUCUCCUUUUCCUUCCUUCUCCCACAGCAGCCGUCGCCUGGCCAGCCCCCAUCCCCCGUUUUGGAUUUUUUCUCUUCUCCCUCAACCGGACAGCCGAUCUUCCCGACCCUCACAAAUCAGCCUCACCGAACCCCACUGACCAGACGAUUUUUCCUCCUCCCUUGCCCUCUGCCAAACACAAACCAGGCCACACCCUUUUUCUCCUUCACCGCAGCUUCAACAGCCCCAGCUCGCCAAGAUCGAGCCGGCCGCCCCCUCACCAGACCUUUGCUCCCCCAACCUUUUCCCUUUGGCUGCUCCUUCUCCCUUAAACCAGCCACUCGAAGAUCCCACUCAAUCGUCCCUCUCCACCGCCAGAAGUCCUCUGCCUGCCUCAACGUCGGCCACAGGAGAAAGAGAGGAGAAAUGAGCCGAAGCUUGAGGUGGUCUCUUCACCUUGCUUAAUCCUCUGCCUGCCUCACCGCCAGCCGAAAGAAGAAAGAAGGGUCGGCGAUCUACCCGAUCCAGUGGGUAACCGACCGCACGAGUCGCCGGUGAGCCACUCAACACUCCCCAACAGAUCUGCUAGCCGAGGAAGAAGGAGAGAGAAGCAGAUCUAAACAGAUCUAAGGAGAGAAUCGACUGUGUUGUUGCGUUUUUGUGUGUUUUGCAGGUGAAGGUGAUCUUCACCGCCGACGAGGAAAAGAAGAGGGGAAGAAGUCGAUCCAGACCCCUGCUGCUUUUUUGUUUCUUGCGGCGGCGCGUGAACCCACGCGCCGCCAGUGACGGUGGCGCGUGGAGAAGACGCGCCACCAUGAGUUCUGGCAGUUCCAGAGGGUCCUCAAUGCAAUUUCGGGAGUUUUAGGGACUGUUUUUGUAAAUUUUAAAUUAUGUAAUGUAAUUUUUGUUUAGUGUUGAAUUUUUUUAAUUUGUAAUGUGGAUGUAACAAAAAAAAAGAAAGAAAAAGAAAAGAAAAGAAAAAAUAUAGUGAAAGUGUAUGUGUGUUUGUAUUUUUUUUAUGUAUGUUAUUGAGAUAAAAAAUGAAUUUAAUAUUUUAAUUUAUAUGCUCAAAUAUCUAAAGGACAGAUAAAAAUCAUGUAUUUUCCAUAAAAAUGUAGAACAUGUAUCUACAUAUAUUUUGGGAACUAAUAACUGAUUUAUCGAAGCCUUAGAAUUGGGCUAAAAUUUUUAUUUUUAAAAACACAUCAAGUCCACGAAGCAGCUUACCUCAGGUAGGGUGCGUUAGGGGUGCUAAUACCUUCCCUAACCACAACCAGUCCCUUACCUAUGAAUCUCUGACAAGAUCAGUACAUUCGGUUUCCUAGUAGCCCGCAAUCAAUUACUAGGUGGCGACUCCAACGAACCAAUCAAAUCAAAUCAAACAUAACAAAUGAAAAAAUCGCCAGCCGAUGCCGCGCUGAUUUUUUGACGUGCGACAGAAUGGCGACUCCACUGGGGAAGGUAUUGUUUUCAACACUAUUGGACUAAGCUUUGUGUUUUUGAUGCGUUUAUGUUUUUACAAUUUUGUCCUAUUUUAUUUUUUGUUUUAUCCAUGCAUUGUAUAGAAUUGUCUCAUGCAUCACAUGUUUUAAUUUUUUAAAGCACACACAAGCUUCAGGUUAGGAGGGGGACUAGCAGCUUACCUUAUGACUUUUAGUCAAGGUUUAAGUUUGUGUAAACCCCAACUCUUCGUUGAGUGCUUAGACUGGUAAUAGUUGGACAUGUGCCAUCUCAUUGCCUACAAGCCCCCAUAUUGCCUCCACGAGGGCAAUCACUGGGACAACAAGAGACCCUUUUUAGAGACCAAGUAGUAAACCUACCUUUUGUCUCACUUAAAAAGAUUAGAACCUGCCUUUAUGAUAUGUGCUCCGUAUAUAUUGUUUUGCAUCAAGGCAAACCCUUCUUGAAGCAUCUUGAACUCAAGACUUUUGGGUGACCCAAUGGCCGUCACUCAGGAAAUUUUCAUUGUAGAGUUUGGGCAAGAAUCAAGAUUCUUGUUUCAUCAUACAAGAGUUACGACCAUAUGUCACCCCUCGAAAGGCGAGUUCUUCAUAUAGUUUACAUGUUCAUACAUCUAUCAUGCAUGUACCGGGAGGAAAAAUAGGUUCCCCUGUCCGAGGUUUACUACACUGGAUGGAAAAGGAUGGAUAAUAAAGAAAAGGGUCAGAGAGAAGCACAAAAUCAAAGGAAAGUUGAGAGCAUCAAAGGUGAAGUAGCUAGGCUCAGAUCUGCCUGAACAAGUGUUGAGCAUCAAAUGGAAAGAGAAUGUCUGCACAAUCUUCUGUGGAAACACUGCUUGUCCACGUCCAAGUGAAGCUGCACCUCUCCAUUUCAGUCCUGAACAACAAUAGCAAUGCCUUCAGUCAUCAGCUAAUGACAACUUUUGUUUUUGGUCAGCUGCCCUGUUAAUUGUUCAUCGCCUCCACAUCUUUCAAUGGUACCAAAUAACUGCUAGCCUUCUGUGCAUGGUGUAUUAGCCUUCUUUGACGUUAUCCCAACUGUUAGUUCAAUUCCAGUUCAGCAGCACAAGAUGUAAAAAAAAAAAAAAAACAAAAAAAAAACCUCGAAAAAAAAAAAAAAAAAAAAAACUGAAAAAAAACCAUGAUUAGACACUGAACUUCUACGUUGCAGAGCUCUCUCUGUAGAGAUUCGUUUGUGGCUCUGCAAGUGGGGAAUGCAAGAGGGAAUGUAGUAUUUUCAUAUGCUACAAAACUUUGCCCCAUCAAUUUCAGAACCGAAACACUGGAGUAGGCAGAAGGGUCACACCUGGUCUGAAAACAUGAGCCGUCAUUAAACUUCAACGCGGCAGAGCUCUCUCUACAAAAAUCUGUUUGUGGCUCUGCAAGUGGGGAAUGCAAGAGGGGAUGCAGUACUUUCAUAUGCUACAAAACUUUGGCUCAUCAGUUUCAGCACUGAAACACUGGAGUAGGCCGAAGAGUCAGACCUAGUCUGAAAACAUGAGCAGUCGUCGAACUUUGACGUGGCAGAGCUCUCUCUACAAAAACCUGUUUAUGGCUCUGCAAGUGGGGAAUUCAAGAGGGGAUGUAGUAGUUCUAGACAAUGUGAAAAGUUACCCCACCAGCUUCAGCAUCGAAACACUGUAGUAGGCAGAAAAGCCAGACUUGAGCUAGAAAACAGGAGCAAAUAUAGAACUUCACCGUGGCAGAGCUCUCUCUGCAGAAACCUGUUUGUAGAUCUGCAAGUGGAGAAUCCAAGAAGGGAUGCAGUAGUUUCUGAUCAUCUAUAAUUUUCUCUCAUCGGUGUUAGCUUGAAAAUGCAAAAGAAGGGAAAAGAGACGGCUGAAAAAUAGAAAGAAGAUUGAAACUUCAACAGAGCAGAGCUCCCUCUACAGGUGUCUGUUUGCUGCACCAUCAGUGAGGAAUCAAAGAGCAGACAAAGGAGUUUUAGAUUCAUCAAGUUCUCUUCCAGUUUUGACAAUGUGUGAUUCCACACGUCGGCAGUGGCAAUGCUGCAAGUCUCCGGGUGCUGCCAAGAUUACCUAGCUACUGGAAGGUUUCCAACAAUCCACAAACGACCACAACAACAUUGAAAGAAUGACAUGAUGUUGUGAAGAUCAUCGAAAGAAUUAAGCUAGCUAUGAAGAUGAGAAGGAUUGAAGGUUCUGUCAAGAAUUCCAGAACAAUGAUGAGAGAUGAAUCAGGAGAUGACUCUGAAGAUGAGAAACCAUAGUUACUUGGUUUAGUCAAGUCUCACUGUAGCACCAGCUACUCAAGUGUCUUUGCCAAGAUUGACAUCUUUCUGCCACCCAAGUUGGACUACUAGCAUCUGUCAGAUUCCAGACUUUUUGCCUGACUCUGUUAAAUCCCAUGCAACCACUGUUUCUUAUGUGAUAUAAUCCAAACAGGAGAUUUGAAUAUCAUGGGGGGAUUUCAGGCCAUUCAGUUGAAUAAUUGCAAGAAUCGAGUCCGCAAAUUGGUGAGCAAAAGACGAGAGGAAUCUGUGAAGGAGCUUGUCAUUGAUCAUUUUGUCGCCAGAACAUCCUCAGAAUGACGAGUGAUCGAAAUUGCUCGGUAAACACAGAUAUUGCCAGAAUAGUUGAUCCAAGAAGGGCGUUGAACUGUCAAUCAUGUUGUUAUGGAAUUUUUGCCAUUCUGCAUUUUGUUUUGGGGUCACAUCUCAUCCUUGAACGAAACAUGUCUUUUCUUUGUCUUUUUGUUGUUUUGAAAUCAAGAGAUGCUUCUUUCAAAGGGUAUUUUGACAAAAAUAUUUUUUUGAUCAAACUCCAACAUACAAAAUUAAAGCUAGUCAAUCCUGAAGAUUAAAAGUGUUUUGAUUGCGGAAAUGACUUUAUGCUUGAAAAUGACAUGAGGUGACCAAACAAUUUUGAACUCAUAUCUCCUGAAACUGAACAACACAUCAUAUAACUAAGUUUUAGCAGUAUGCAUAAUGACAUGUAGUGGAUUCGGUAGUUAUGGACUCGUGAAUCAUGACUCUUACAAGUCCAAAUCAUUACACUGGAUGAGGUCAAAAUUUAUCGAUUCUAACCGACCUUGCUUGAAAUGAGAAAAGGCCAUCUUUGUUAUCCUUUCACAUUUCUUGAAAUAUUAUCCCUUGCAGUCCCAUUUUGAGCCUGGUAAAAUAUUUUCUUUCAAGAAAACCCUGACUAGGAUCACACCCUACACCGGGGCAAAUGAGAGAUAUUUUGAAGACACUGAUAGGAUUGAUGAAUAAAAGAAAAGACUUAGAACAAAAGCCCAAUGAUUGAGAAAGGGCUAGAACAAAAAAGUCAUAGAGUGAAGGGCAUCCAAGAAAACUUUGAGAAAGGCUAUGUAAAAGUAAAAAAAAAAAGUGGAAAUGAAGGAGAAUGCCUAUCAAUUCUAAGAGGGGCAAAAGAGGUUUCAAUGGAAGAAAGACACAACAAAUGCCAAAAGUCAACACCAAAAAAAUCAAGUUUCAUGUCUUUUGGUGUGUCUAGGAUAAAGCCUUUAGUGUCUUCAAAAAAAUUUUAGAUUCAUUAUUCAUCAGAGAAAAAGUUGGAUUAGCAUUAUGACCUAUGUUAAGAGAAUUCUGAUCUUUGAGAUUAACAGGGUUAUAUGUCACUUUCUCCACAACGACAACGAGAAAGAGAGUUGAUGAAUAGUUGAUGUUGAUCCUAGGUCGUUGAAACCCUCAAACACCUUUUGAGCCUGUGAAUUUCCCUUCUUUCAUAAGCCAUGAACCAUAGCCUGUAUUACGUGCUUUUAAAAGCCCUUUUUAAUCAAGUAAGCAAUCUGAACCGAUAAAUGGCGCUUCAAAACUUGAAGAGCUUUUCCAUAAGAGUCAUAGCUUCAUGGAUUAAGCUACUGGUUAUUAUGCAUGCUGACAAAAUUGGUAAAAAAAAAAAACAAUCUUUCUUGAUGAAUCCUCAAGUUUUGACUUGAGUCUUUUGUUUUUUGAAAUUCACAUAAAGGUCACCUCAUCACAAACCAUCAAAAGAUAUACCCCAAAAUCAAAGUCUAAAAUGGAUACAAAGAACCAUGAAAAAAGUCAUUUUAAACUUACAAUGGGUCAUUUCUGUUUUCAAAAUACAAGACAAUCAAAGGACUAUAUUGAAUAGUGUGUGUUGGGUCUUUGACAAAAAAGCUUGAUUUUCAAAAGAUCUUUUCCAAAACUGAUAUCUCUUUGAUUUCAUUUCAACAAUUAGACUUGAAUUGACAUGAUCUUUGAAAUAUGAGAUUUGAUUCCAGAACAAGAAAGAUUGUCGAACAAUGAAGAACAUCGAGUGAGUCUGCGAAAUAUUUGACAUGAAAUGACAUCAACUCUUCUCAAUACUCCUUGAAAAAUUGAGACACCUGGAGGCAAUACAAUGGAUCAUGGGUAUGAAAACAAACAGUAUUCAGAUCAACUAGGGGCAAUGAAAGAUGAUCAAAUGAUGAAUCAAUGCACUGAGGACAACGGUGUUUAAAGAAAUGCUAAUCAGCAGAACAAGCAUUCAGAUCAUUAUUGGGGGCAAUGUUGUUCAAAAACAUUCCAUGAUCUAGUGAACUCUAGCAGCAAUUGAAAACAACACUGCAAUUAAGGGACAACCUCGUAUCUUCAUCUUGGGGUUACCCUUUGAAACAUGGCUAUGAAAAAUGUUAUCGCAUCGUUGCAUUGGAAUGAAUGUCAGAAAGAUGCACACCACCAAGAUUGACUGUGGGACCAUCUAUUCUGAAGCUCAAAUGUGCACUUCACCGUAUGAAUAUGGGUGAUAACAUGAACAUCAUUGAUGAUGUCGAGACAUUUCUUUCCACUAUCUGAUUUGACGAGCUGAGAGGAAUCCAUGAGAAAGAACAUUGAGCAUACAACGAUGAGUCUUUCACUGCAAGCUAUGAGAUGCAUGUCUGGACGACUGGAUGAUUUCCAUGAAGACUGAUGAUAACAUAUACUUGAAGAGUAUUGUUUCAACUUGAGGAAAGUUUAUGACUGAUUAACAAUCUUGAUGGGUGUUGGCAUGAUGCACACAACCAAUCGAAAGAUAAUUUUCAGAAGAAUCUAGGAGAGAAAAUCCUGCAUGAUGAAUCAAGCAACACCGCACUUGGGGGCAGAGUCAAGCUUGAUAAACCACAAGAGCAGUAACCGUCGAAGACAGCCCAGGAUGUGCACUGCACUUACAACUGAGUGGAUGGCUAGCACAUGAAUGAGCCAAUGCAUCGAAAGAACCAAUAAAGCUUUGGAAUGCAAACAAAGGCACCCUGUGAUGAUGGAACAUCGAAGAGGGGGGACCUAUAUUUCGAAUCAGGUAAGGAGGCAUGCAUGUCAGCUAACGUUAAAACAUUGUACAUAUUUUUUAUUUUGUUGCAGGAAAAAUCCUCAAUGUAGUUUAGCAAGAUUGGGGACCAAAAAAAAAGAGAAAAAAAAAAGAAGAAUCAUUGAGCUGAUAAUAACAGAGAAUCAUGGUUAUGACCUUGGAACGGGAAGAAGAUGAGAUAAGCCUUACUGUUAGGAAAAUCUCAAAGAAAUGAAAAGAUCAACCUUGCAAUCAGGAAGCAUCGAUUUUUCAAACCCUGCGAUCAAGAAUUAUCAAGAAGCACCAAGUUUUCCGGCCCUUCUUCUAUCAUCCCUUCAGGACUUCGCCAGGUAAGUCCCAUUUUUCACACUUGUCACAUCACAUCUUUCAUUUGGGUAGGUCACCCAUAACAAUGAGACCAUUUCACAUUUUUUCUAUCCUCCACAUGGGUAGGUCACCCAUAAUAAUGAGACCGCUUCAUAUUUUUCUCAUCUUCCAUCUGGGUAGGUCACCCAUUACAAUGAGACUGCUUCAUAUUUUUUCUAUCCUCCACCUGGGUAGGUCACCCAUAACAAUGACACCACUUCACAUUUUUUCUAUCUUCCAUCUGGGUAGGUCACCCAUUAUAAUGAGACCGCACUUCACAUUCUUUCCGUUUGGGUAGGUCACCCAUCAUAAUGAGACCGUUUUCCACAUUAUUUUUCUUGGGUAGGUCACCCAUACAAUGAGACCAUCAUUUUUCUUGGGUUCGUCACCCAUACAAUGAGACCAUCAUUUUUCUUGGGUUCGUCACCCAUACAAUGAGACCAUCAUUUUUUCUUGGGUUAGUCACCCAUACAAUGAGACCAUCAUUUUUCUUGGGUUCGUCACCCAUACAAUGAGACCAUCAUUUUUCUUGUGUUCGUCACCCAUACAAUGAGACCAUCAUUUUUCUUGGGUUCGUCACCCAUACAAUGAGACCAUCAUUUUUCUUAGGUUCGUCACCCAUUACAAUGAGACCAUUUGUUCCACAUUCUUUGUUUUGGUUUAAUGAGGUCGCCAGAUGGGAUCUCAUGUAGCUUUGGUUAAAGGGAAUCGCCAGAUGGGAUUUCAGGUUAACCGAGUUACGUAACAUCUUUUAGUUUUGGUUUAAUGAGGUCGCCAGAUGGGAUAUCAUGUAGCUUUGGUUAAAGGGAAUCGCCAGAUGGGAUUUCAGGUUGACCGAGCUACCACACAUUUUUUAGUUCCAGUUGAAUGAGGUUGCCAGAUGGAAUCUCAUGUAGCUUUGGUUAAAGGGAAUCGCCAGAUGGGAUUUCAGGUUGACCGAGCUAUCACACAUUUUUUUAAGUUCAAGUUGAAUGAGGUCACCAGAUGGGAUCUCAUGUAGCUUUGGUUAAAGGGAAUCGCCAGAUGGGAUUUCAGGUUGACCGAGCUACACACAUUUUUUAGUUCCAGUUGAAUGAGGUUGCCAGAUGGAAUCUCAUGUAGCUUUGGUUAAAGGGAAUCGCCAGAUGGGAUUUCAUGUUGACCGAGCUACCACACAUUUUUUUAAGUUCCAGUUGAAUGAGGUCGCCAGAUGGGAUCUCAUGUAGCUUUGGUUAAAGGGAAUCGCCAGAUGGGAUUUCAGGUUGACCGAGCUACCACAUUUUUUAGUUCCAAUUUAAUGAGGUCGCCAGAUGGGAUCUCAUGUAGCUUUGGUUAAAGGGAAUCGCCAGAUGGGAUUUCAGGUUGACCGAGCUACCACAUUUUUUAGUUCCAAUUUAAUGAGGUCGCCAGAUGGGAUCUCAUGUAGCUUUGGUUAAAGGGAAUCGCCAGAUGGGAUUUCAGGUUGACCGAGCUACACACAUUUUUUUAGUUCUGGUUAAAGGGGAUCGCCAGACGGGAUCUCAGGUUAGCCCAACCACACAGAUUUUUGUUUUUGGUUCAAGGAGAUCGCCUGAUGGGAUCUCAGGUUAAAAAAAAAAAAAAAAAAAAGGGGAAAGAAAAUGAAAAAGAGAUAAAGAAGGAAAGGAGAAGGAAAAAAGAAAGAAACAUUUAGAGUUUUUCUUUACAAAGCUUACUAUGCGAAACAUUGAGGAGUUUUGCUUCGUAAGCAUUGUAAAGAGGGGGCAUCUGUUGCUACCCAAUUUUUGACCCAUGUUUUGAUAAAUUUUCAGAAAAAUCCAAAAACAACGAAAAACAUUGAAAAUCCAAAAAAUACAUUUUUAAUACAUUUGCAUCAUUUUUAGCAUUUUUCAGCGUCGUCUAAAAAGAAUUUAAAUUUUCCAAGGUCUUUCGAACGCGUUCAAUUUUUAACGCGUUAAUUUUAAAAUCAUUGAUUUUCCUUAUUGAGUCGACGUUGAUAUUGCUCGCUUUCAAAAAUACAAAAAAAUAAGAAAAAUCAAAAUUUACAAAAAAAAGAGGAAAAGAGAAGGAAAGGAAAAGUUGAGGGACUAGUUUGAAAACAUAGCAAAACGUUUCCUAUAAAUAUCAUGCUACACUGAAUUUUUAAGGGGGGGCAAUUUGGCAAUUAAAGGGGGCAACAAAAAGAGAAACCCUAAAAAGCUUAUUAGUUUUUCUUCUCCCUCACCCGGAGCCGCCACCCCCCAUCCGGAUCAGAUUUUUAUCUUCUUCUCCCUCACAAGGCUGCCCCCUCCCUUGGCCAAAAAGAAGGAGAACCAAAGCCACAGGGACUUCCCUUCUGCCUCUCUCCAUCUCACUGUCUUCUCCCUCAACCGGCCCCUCAGCCCCCACACACCCAUCUCCUUCUCACAGCAGCCGACCACCACAUCCGAAGACCAGCCUCUUCCUCUUCCCCCACAAACCAGCCACCCUAAGACUCGACACCGCCUGACCUUCCCUUCUCCUCCGGCCGUUGCUCUCCCUCUCAGCCAAGACAGACCGAGCAGCCCCCCCCACAAACCAAGCCACCACAGCUCUCCUUGUCCUUCCUUCUCCCACAGCAGCCGUCGCCUGGCCAUCCCCCAUCCCCCGUUUUGGAUUUUUUCUCUUCUCCCUCAACCGGACAGCCGAUCUUCCCGACCCUCACAAAUCAGCCUCACCGAACCCCACUGACCAGACGAUUUUUCCUCCUCCCUUGCCCUCUGCCAAACACAAACCAGGCCACACCCUUUUUCUCCUUCACCGCAGCUUCAACAGCCCCAGCUCGCCAAGAUCGAGCCGGCCGCCCCCUCACCAGACCUUUGCUCCCCCAACCUUUUCCCUUUGGCUGCUCCUUCUCCCUUAAACCAGCCACUCGAAGAUCCCACUCAAUCGUCCCUCUCCACCGCCAGAAGUCCUCUGCCUGCCUCAACGUCGGCCACAGGAGAAAGAGAGGAGAAAUGAGCCGAAGCUUGAGGUGGUCUCUUCACCUUGCUUAAUCCUCUGCCUGCCUCACCGCCAGCCGAAAGAAGAAAGAAGGGUCGGCGAUCUACCCGAUCCAGUGGGUAACCGACCGCACGAGUCGCCGGUGAGCCACUCAACACUCCCCAACAGAUCUGCUAGCCGAGGAAGAAGGAGAGAGAAGCAGAUCUAAACAGAUCUAAGGAGAGAAUCGACUGUGUUGUUGCGUUUUUGUGUGUUUUGCAGGUGACGGUGAUCUUCACCGCCGGCGAGGAAAAGAAGAGGGGAAGAAGUCGAUCCAGACCCCCUGCUGCUUUUUUGUUUCUUGCGGCGGCGCGUGAACCCACGCGCCGCCAGUGACGGUGGCGCGUGGAGAAGACGCGCCACCAUGAGUUCUGGCAGUUCCAGAGGGUCCUCAAUGCAAUUUCGGGAGUUUUAGGGACUGUUUUUGUAAAUUUUAAAUUAUGUAAUGUAAUUUUUGUUUAGUGUUGAAUUUUUUUAAUUUGUAAUGUGGAUGUAACAAAAAAAAAGAAAGAAAAAGAAAAGAAAAGAAAAAAUAUAGUGAAAGUGUAUGUGUGUUUGUAUUUUUUUUAUGUAUGUUAUUGAGAUAAAAAAUGAAUUUAAUAUUUUAAUUUAUAUGCUCAAAUAUCUAAAGGACAGAUAAAAAUCAUGUUGUAUUUUCCAUAAAAAUGUAGAACAUGUAUCUACAUAUAUUUUGGGAACUAAUAACUGAUUUAUCGAAGCCUUAGAAUUGGGCUAAAAUUUUUAUUUUUAAAAACACAUCAAGUCCAC